ensembl:lncRNA
GGAAAAGUGGCCCAAAGAUCACAGAGUGUAUUUUGAUGAAUUGCGAGCUCUCGUUUCAGAAUUCACCAACAGAGUCGGAGAAAGGAGGGACCUGCACCUGCUGGACCAGAACCUGCCCCAGGCGGAGUGGGUGUUGCUGAAGGUCAUCAAGCGAAAGUGGUCGGAGCCAAGGUGGACGGGUCCUCAUCAGGUGGUGGAGAGAACGAGUCAUGCGGUCCGCCUGAGGGACAAAGGAGAGACCUGGUACCAUUGGAGCCAGUGUACACCAGCGCAGGAGCCAGGGAGGUCGCUAACGGGCCUCAUCCAAACCGGGAAGGAGGAGCUUUCCCCAGUGUGGACGGAAGGAGGACCAGCACCAGCCGGGCCGGUGCCAGGAGCGGACCCCAGGACACGGCGGGACUACGAGCGAGUGAAGGAGACAAAGGACGGCGCCAGGGGAAUAGACUCUUAGGGGAAGGAACUGAGGAAUACUGUAACAAAAGGGGGUAUAGGACACCGAGUGGCUCCUACCACUCGUACCAAGAUGACAGGGUCACAGAGAAGGGCCUGGGGAGAUGAUAGUAGAAUGAAAUGAGGGCUUGCCAUGAGAGUGAUCUCUACAGCCAUUGAGAAGGCUUCAGGACCGCCACCAGGAUGCUGAUGCCUCUACUGGAGCAGCAUGACCCGGGAGAACUGGAGCUUGGCGAAUAGGGGUGAUCUCUCUGGGGAGAGAUCAAAAGGGG